UGGUGGAGUGAUUUGUCUGGUUAAUUCCGUUAACGAACGAGACCCCUGCCUGCUAAAUAGGUUGCGUAGUGAGUUUUCACUGUGUGAAUCUUCUUAGAGGGACGUGCAUUCUAUUAGAUGCAGGAAGAUAGGGGCAAUAACA
rnacentral:rRNA from 1 species